UGGGGAAUAUUGCACAAUGGGGGAAACCCUGAUGCAGCGACGCCGCGUGAACGAAGAAGGUAUUCGUAUCGUAAAGUUCUGUCCUAUGGGAAGAUAAUGACAGUACCAUAGAAGAAAGCUCCGGCUAAAUACGUGCCAGCAGCCGCGGUAAUACGUAUGGAGCGAGCGUUGUCCGGAAUUAUUGGGCGUAAAGGGUACGCAGGCGGUUUAAUAAGUCGAAUGUUAAAGAUCGGGGCUCAACCCCGUAAAGCAUUGGAAACUGAUAAACUUGAGUAGUGGAGAGGAAAGUGUAAUUCCUAGUGUAGUGGUGAAAUACGUAGAUAUUAGGAGGAAUACCAGUAGCGAAGGCGACUUUCUGGACACAAACUGACGCUGAGGUACGAAAGCGUGGGGAGCAAACAGG
rnacentral:rRNA from 1 species